CUGUUUCCCAAGGGAGUGUUCUUCUGGAGUUUGCUUCUGGAUUCCUCACUCUCUGCGAACCUUGUUUGUGGAUGCCCCUCAAAAAUGCAAUGCCCGGCAUUAGAUGCACAAGCCCAGGCAAUUAAAAUGAAGACUGUUUCCAUGCGGGCCCCCGUGAAAGGGAUUCCUGUGUAUCUCAAGCAACAAAGAGAGCUGUGGAGCAAGGAGAUUCCCUGUGUAAUCGGGAGCACUGGAUGUGAAUCCCAGGUCUGGCAUGGGAACCUUGGUGAGUGAUGCUGAGUGGAAUGUUACGUAUCACCAUCAUCAUCAGCAUCCAUCCCACCACCAUCAUCACAACCACCACCACCACCAUCAUCAUCAUCAUCAUCAUCAACAGCUUUUUCCAAGCAAGUCUGGAAUAAGAAGAGAAGUCGGAGGAUUUAGGCUUUGUACUUCCUGGCAGCCCCAGCCCCUGAGGCUCAUGCGAUCCUGCUCACCUUCUCUCCCUGACCCCGAACCCUAAGGGGCUCCCGCACUCCAGAUCGUAGCUGGCUCUUCUCUAUUCUUUUCCUUAUUCCAGCCAUUAGAGUCUUUUGGGACUGGCUUCUCAACCUUUGUCACAUUGGGCUUGAUAUUUUUAGUUUCUUUCAGUGGUAAAUAUUAGAUUAUUCAGAAAAAUUGUUGUCCCAGAUUUCCACACAUGAUGGUAUAGAUACAGAAUAUACACUUAUAAAAUAAGCAGAAAUGAUAUCUCAUGAACAUUUGCUAGAAUUGAAAUAGAAGAGGUGCAGGCAGCAUCCCCAUAGCUUAAAAAUGAUCUGCUAAGAUGUGGGCAUGACUUUUCCCCACAAAACUUGCCACUCAUUUGAUAUUAUAGUGCGGGGGAAUAGUCUUCCUGACAUUUUAGUGGUUGUUAUUGCUGUAUUUUUUUUUUAGGGCAUAUUUUUUUAAGGGGAGAAAAUGAAGAAUAUGUAAGGAAAAAAAUCAGUACUUAGCUGGGUUACCUUUUAUUCUUAGGACAUUUACUUGUUAGCAUUACAGUCUUAAAAUAGUCUUCUACCAAAUACAUUACCAACAGGCAUUUCCAAAAUGCUGAGAGUACUCUAUCUAGUCUCAAAUUCUCAAGUUCAAAAAAAUGGAAUGCCAGUUCCUCCAUGGGCUGACACAGCCUCAUUAUUAUGGCCAUAUUUAUUUACUUAUUUAUUGUAGUAAAAUAUACAUAAUAUAAAAUUCAUCAUUUAAACCAUUUUAAGCAUACAGUUCAGUGCCUUUAAGUACAUUCACAUUGUUAUAUAAUCAUCACUACUAUCCAUCUUCAAAACUUUUUUUAUCUUCUGCAAUGAAAACUAUGUACCCAUUUAAUAAUAAUUCCUAAUUACCCCUACCCUCUGCCCGUAGCCACCACCAUUCUACUUUGUGUCUCUAUGAAUUUAACUACUGUCAGUACCUUAUGUAAGUGGAUUAGCGCCAAAUUUGUCUUUUUGCGAUUGGCUUAGUCACUUAGCAUCAUGUCUUCCAGGUUCAGUCAUAUUGCGGCAUAUGUCAGGAUUUUCUUCCCUUUAGGGUAACACUUAUUGAGCUCUUACUGCCUACCAGGCCUUGUGCUAUGCGCUUCAACAGACCUCACAAUCACCCUAUGAGGUAGGGAGUCUCACUAACUCCAUUUCACAGAUGAAGAAACUGAAGACAGGAAUGUUUAGAAAGCUGCCUGAUAUGGUUUAGCUCUG
rnacentral:lncRNA from 1 species